CAACCUUAGACUAUUACACACACACAUAAUUCAGCUUAAAACAAACAUUAUUGACAAGGGACUUUCCAAAAAAACAGCUGAUCUGCAUGCACUUGUUUAACCAGAGAUAUCAAUCGCCUUCACCUCAGGUUUCUUCUGCUCUUCUUUAGGAACAGUUACAGUGAGCACUCCAUCCUCCAUAGCUGCCUUAAUUUCCCCCAUCUUCGUAUUCUCCGGCAGCCUAAAUCUCCUUAAAAACUUGCCACUGCUCCUCUCCAUACGGUGCCACUGAUCAUUCUUCUCCUCUUGUUCUCUGCUCCUCUCACCGCUUAUCUGUAGUAUCCUUCCUUCUUCAACUUCGACUUUCACUUCCUCUUUCUUGAUCCCCGGCACGUCUACUUUGAAGAUGUGAUCUUGUGGGGUCUCUUUCCAAUCGAUUCUUGCAUUUGCGAAAGCAGAGGUUUCACGAGCUGAGGAGGGGGUGUUAGCGAUUGUGCUUGAAAUUGGGAAGCCUUCGAAUGGAUCCCAUAAGUCGAGGGAAAAUGGGUCGAAGAUGUUGCUCCUGCGACCAUCGAAGAAGCUUGGAAUCAGAGACAUCUUGGGGAAUUUGUUGUUUGAAGAAAGCAAAAGAUUGUAUUAUGAAGCUUGAGUUUUUCUUUGAUAGUAGUGUUUGAUUUGCUGAUAUAAAUUUGAGAAAAUGUUGUGCUAUUUAUAGGCGAUGAACCAAGAAACCUGUGUAAUUCCAAUAUAAUCAAGGAUGUUCACCAGAGAAUUCAACAAUAUUCUACAACUUCUUAUCCAAUUUGAGGCUAAUCCAGGAUGUUCUUUGGUUAAUUUUUAAUAGGAAAAAUAAGAGGCUUCUACAAUAUUCCAGAGAAUUUUUUUCUGAAGCGUUUAAGUCAUAAUUUCAGUAGUGCAUACAAAGGUAAAAUGACUCGGGAGGCUUUGUAAUUGACUCUGUUUGUUAGCUGAAUCCGUCCAACUCCCUCCACAAUUGUCAAUUGAACUCCUAAAUCUCCCGUGGUAAGCCCGGCCCAAAGUCAAGAUAUAAACAUAAUAAUGUAAAUUUAAAAAUAUAAUUUAUAUCAUAUAUUUUUUUACUUUAUAAUUAGUAUAAUCAGAUGGCAUAUUAAACAUAUCUUAUUGAUAAGUUUUCAUAAUUAGUAAAAUACUGAAUCACAUAAUUGGAUAAAUUUUUUUUAAAUCUAAUUUGUGAGGACGAAAAUAUUACCAGAGUAUUAUAAUAUAUCAAAAUGCUACAAGUAAUUCGAUAUUUUAUAAAAUAAUAUGAUUUAAAAUAUGUAAUAAUUAGGAUUCAAAGAAGAUCACAAUAGAAAAUAUUGAUAUUUUUAUAAAUUUGUGGGUACGUAAUUAUUUAGUUAUAUAUAGAAAUAAAUUAUAUUUAUUGAGUUUUAGUUUCUCUCGUGUGUGAUUUCAGUAGCAAGACUUUUACAACAUAUUCUUUUUCAUCUUAUAGAAUUAUCUGAAAUAAAAUAUUUCAAUGACUUCAAGAUUAUAUUAUAACAAUUAUAUCCUUAAUUUAGAGUCAUUAUAUAAAUUAACUUAAUAAUGAUCUAUAAGAAUAUUAAACAAUAAUUAAACUAACAUUAAUAGAUUACUCCAUUUGGUCGAUUUAGUUGUUAUGUAUAUUUUUAUAUGCCCCUUAAAAUAAUACCUAUUCACUCCAUUUUAAUUAUUUCUUUAUCUUUUUUCAUAUCCACCAAGAAUUAUAUUAUUUAUUAAGUUAUUUUAUGUAUUAUAUAUGUCUGGAGGGUCGAAUAUAAUAUUAGAAAAAUCUAUAAGGUAAUAGUUGAAAUCAUUAUAAAAUUUAAUUUUAUAUUAAGUUAUCUUGAAUAAUUUUUUUGAGUUAAAGAUAUUGUUGAAUUAAGAUAAAGGAAAUUUUAAUUAAAAGACAAUCUAGCAAGUGGCAAGAAGAAACCAAUUACAAAAUUUUAAAUCUAAUGAUCUUAACAAGAAAAAUAAGGGCAAAAAUAAAAAUAUAUUAAAAAAAUCACCAUCACUUGCUAUGUGUAAUAACCUUAUUUGACCAAAAAAAUAAAAUAUCAAAAAUGCCCUUGUGAAGACUAUCGAAAAUUGAUAUCCUCUCUUAUAUAUAGUAUAGUAGUAAUAUAUAUAUAUAUAUAUAUAUAUAUAUAUAUGAAGAAGCUUCAAGGUUUAAGUUGAAAAUCACCAAAAUAAAAAAAUUGUAUGGACUACAAUAGAUAAGAAAAAUAUCUUAGGAACACAAAAUCAAGGACUCGUACCAAUUACAAACAAGAUAGGAGUAGUAUUUGUUAUAUCUUGAGCAUUACCAGCCGAAGCUAUGGACUCAAAAUCUAUCACCCAAGACCCACAUCGUCACUUCGUUUGUUUCCUCCGAUCCAACAUUUAUAUGUGAUUAAGUUGCGUAGAGCGGCAGAGGUAAACCUUGCAUGGACCCUUACACUUUGUUUGGAUGGUGGUUUGCUAUGAUUUCAUAAUAUACGCUACAGUAUGAGAUGGUAUGGUAUUGUACUUUGGAUGGUUGGAAUAUACUAAAAUAUCCCUAUGAAAUUAUUUUAUUCAAUCACUUAUUCCAGGAACUAAGUAAUAUGAAUACCAGCUACAAAUUGUAUAUCUCAAAAUUAUUAUCCUUAUCUCACCAAUCAAACAAUCCAAAUUUUUUUUUAACUUAACAAUGCAUAUAUAUAUUUUUUCAAAAUUAUUAUCCUUAUCCCACCAAUCAAACAACCAACCCGAAGGUUUUCAUAAUUUGACAACGCAUAUAUAUAUAUAUCUUUUGCGAGGUGACGAUAUGAAAGCAGUAUUAGUCCUGUAUGUAAAGUGAACGGGCUGAUGAUUUCAGAAACUUCAUUUAAAUAGAGAAAUAAUACCGGAUAUUUUCAUACAUAUGCAAGGAUAACAAUUCCCAAAAUUCUAUAAAGUUCAUUAAGUGUUGCAAGUCGAAAUUGUUCUAAAUAUAUCCCGUAACAAACUAACAAUCCAUUGGCUACUAAUUUUACAUCGAAAAACCGUCAUAUGUAAAUCUCAAUACCAAGAUCAAAAUUUUAGCAAAAGAGUGAUCUCCAUAGGUUAAGGCUCCUUCAAACAAAGUUCAGAUUUACUAAAUUAACAAAGCACUACUCUUCUUAGUGAAAAAUCAUCACCCAAUCUAGAGACUAAUUUUUUUAAAAAAGUUUUCCUUCUACGCUUGUCUUUAGAUCAUUUAAAAAAGUGAAAACUAAUCAAAUCAGUUAUCUCAAGGAAUCAACACGCUUCUUUCCAUCAAAAAUUGUCUUUUAACUUCUCAUCACAAAUUAUCACCUUCUCGUUUUGACGACCCUACAAAGGUAACAUAUGGCUAAGUAUCAACCCAACUAUAUAUAGAUAGAUGGUAACCCCCAUAAAGAAAGAACAAGUAGAAAUGCACUUCAAACAGUGGAGUACAGUAGAAGAAAGCAUGGCCGCCUUUUUACGUAUCACCCAAUACGAAUUAUAAGUGCAAUGCAGAAUAUACGGUAUUAGUAAUACUUGCAUUAGUAAUGCUUAUAUUAAUUAGUUAUAUUGAUAUUGUUUCUUAUACAUUAUUUAAUUUGACAUGUUAAAAAUAAUAUAUCUUAUAUAAUUUAUAUAAAAGAAAUAUUUAUUUAUAAAACUAUCCUUCUUUGAUUUAUUACAUUUUUUUCAACAAAAUUCGUUUGCCAUCUCAAACAUAAUUAGUGUUGUUGAACUAGUAUAUAGAGGUUUAGGAUUAAUUGCAAGACCGUCGUCUUUACGCAUGAAAUGUUAUGCAGGCGGAUUAACAUAAUCGAAACAAAAAUAAAAUACAAGAUAUAGAAUAAAGGAAUAGUCUCAAUUUUUUUAUUUAAUUUUUUUAAAGACCCUCGAAGCAAAGCAAAGAUGCAGUUAUUUAAACCAACAAUUCAUUAUUGGAAAUUAAAAUGGUGGAAAAAGAUAUUUUAAUAUGUUUUGAAAAGAUUUACUGUUGCAAAUUAAAAUGGUGAAAAAAAAAUUGUGAAAUAUUUUGAGAGAAAAAUUGGAUAUAUUAAGGUCAUUUAAUAGGUUAAUGCAUGUCUUUAAAGUUUUUGUAUUACUAAUACAUAGGAAAUGGUGUGUAUUACUAAUACACAUCUCAAUAUACAAUAGAAUAUAUAUCUAAUGUUUGUAUUAGUUAUAUAUAGGCAAAAAGAUGUACCAAACAAGGUACUAGUAACACACAUUAACUAAUGCAUGCAUUAUAUUUUCCAAUAUGCUCUACCGAACGAUCCUGGUACAAAGAGAAGUUAUCCAUGAUUAACAAUACUGGAAUUAGCAAUGUAAAAAUUGCAGUGCUGAAAUUAUUUUUCAUCAAGUAUUUGAUUCAUUAUAUUAAAAAUUAGAUAUAUCAUGUAUUGUAUUUGAAUUUAAAGUUGUACAAAAUCUUCUUCAGAUUUAUAUCCUUAAAUUUCUGUAGAAUUUUUUUACUUUAUUUAACUAAUGGAAAAUGGUCAAAAGCCCUCCCCCAAACCUUUACCCCAAAUCCCAACUACGCACUCAACUUUUAAAUGUGACCUAUUACCCCCGGAACUAUUUUAAAGUAGAAUUAUUAUCCCCUGAAUUAUUUUAAAGUGAAAUUAUUACCCCCCUCCCUCCCCCUUCCCCAAAAACCCCCCUCCCCUCCCGAAAAUUGACAACCAGUCAUUUGAAAUGUGGUGUGAUACACGCGCUGCCACGUCAUUUUUUUAUUUACUCUAAAAAAGUUAAUUAUUUAACUUUAUUAUUUUUUUUCUUCCCCAUUUUUCAUUUUGCUCCAUUUUCUUCUUCAAUCAAUUUCAUCUUCUUGGGUCAAAUAUAGAAUUCUUGGGAAAAAAAAUGACGGAUUAAUGAAGUUCUUGAAUGACGGGUUAAUGAAGUUCUUGAAUGGGGUUUUAAUGAAGUUCUUGAACCUAAUUUCAUCUCUUUUUGCUCAAGAUCACCAUUAGUGGCGAAUUCUUCCCCAUUGUGGAAAUUCAAAGCUUUGAACUCGCCAUUAAUGAUGGAUCUUGAGUAAAAAUAGAGAAAAUCGAAAAAAUGGGUUGAACAUUAUACGUGGGUUAUGUUGGAAAUUAUGUAUGGCAUUGUGGAAAUUCGAAGCUUUGAGCUUGCCAUUAAUGGUGAUCUUGAGCAAAAAGAGAGGAAAUCGAAGUUGAAUUUUUUCAAGUUUUUUGAAUCGGAGUUCCCCAACUUCUUCAUUCAAGAAUUCAUUAAUCGGAGAAAUCUUAUUGUUUCCUUAGUUCAAGUGUUUCUUGGUUUCGAUUUCAGAGCAAAGAGAAUUUCUUGAUUUCGGAGAAAUCCAUUAAUGAGGAAGAUGAGAAACCCCAUUAAUGAGUUCUUAAAUUUUUGUUUUAAAAAAGAAAAGAAGAAGACAUGACGUGUCAAUUAAAAUUCAUUAAGAAAAAGUAAUAAUUAAAAUAUUUAUUAUAUUAUUAAAAAUAAUGACGUGACAAUAAAAAAUAAAGAAUUUAAAGUGAAAUGGGGUCAACUGACGCGCCCAUGGGCGAGUGUAGUCACGUCCAAUGACAGGUCAGCAAUUGGUGGUAAUAAAUUCGAUAAAAAUAAUUUUAGGGGGAUAAUAGGUCACUUUUAAAGGUUGAGUGCGUAGUUAAGAUUUCGACUAAAGGUUGGACGGUAAUAGACCAUUUUCUCUUUAACUAAUCAAAUUACUCACUUUUUAUGCGAUCUUAUAAAAAAGUUAAAAUAUAAAUAAUAAUUCUUACUCCGCUUAAUUAAUUAUUUACUUAUUUUUUAAAAAAUUGGGCCUAGUUGAUUUAAAAAAAAUUUAAACAGUAAAAAUAUAUUGUAUAAGAACAACAUGGAUUAUUGAUAAUGUAGUUUCAUAAUUUUAAAUUAUAUAUUUAUUGACAAUAAUCUACUCGUUUUAAAUCAGUCAGUCUAUAAAUUGAAUAAUUACAAAUAGAAUAAAUGUUAGCUUACGUUUGAAGCUAUCAAUCAACAUGAGAGAGAAAAUGACAUUUAGGUGCAAAUUAAAUAUGGUAUAACCAUUAAAUUUGAGGUUAGAUUUAAUAUGAAAAUAAAAGAAAGCUUUUAUUAAAAAAGUAGUUAAAUUAUUUAAUUCUCUUAUUUAUAUAUUAUUAAACAACGUAUAAAUAAUUUUAUGAUUUUUAAAGUAUAGAUAAUCUACUCUAUAGUGUAUAAGUGUGUAUAAGUUAUUCAUGUAUUAGCUGAAAUUAAAUUUAACUAGAACAAUCAAAUAUUAUAUUAGCUGAAAUUAAAUUUGAAUAGAACAAUCAAAUAUUAUAUUGAGAAAAUAGUCUAUUACCUCCAACCUUUAGUCGAAAUCCCAAUUACAUACUCAACCUUUUAAAGAUACCUAUUAUCCCCUUAAUCUAUUUUUUUUUCUAUAUUUAUUACUCCCUGACCUGUCAACAUAAACCAAGUAAUAAGACAUUCAUGCAUUUCAUGCGCCUGGCCCACACCUAAACAUAACAAAAUAUCUUUUUUCACAAUUUCAUUUUCAAUUUCCUCUCUCCUCUCUCUUCUCUCUAAACCUUUCAUCUUCCUCUCUCCUCUAUCUUCUCUCUAAACUGCGAUUUCAUCUAUUUUUUUGGGGGAAUUUUUGUUAUAAUUGAGAUAUUUUGGGUGUGAAUUUUCAAAGAAUCAUCUUGUUGCUGUUACAAGGUGUUUUUUUUUUCCGUAAACUGAAAAAAAUUGAAUUAGAAUUUUUAGCUAAUCUCCAAAUUUACAAAUUAAUUGAGUGAAAUUAACUGAUUCUUACUGUUAUGGCGUUGUCUCAGUGUUCGAUUAACAACAUAAUUCGUUCGUAAGUACAUGUUUUGUUGAUUGUUUAAGUGAGUUUAUUAGAAAUUAGCGCUUUUCUUCGAUUUGUUGUUAAUGUGAAAACUUAAAAAUUCAAUUGUGUUUAAUAGGAAGUGCGUGUUAAUAUGUUGUUAAUUUGAGUGAUUUUUUCCAAAAUUGAGUUAAAAUUAAAUAGAGUUUUAUGCUAAUUCCCAAAAUUUAAAAUUAAUUGAGUGACAUUAAGCUGUGGUUUUUGCUAUUAUAUUGUCUACGUGUUUGAUUAACAACAUAUUACGUUUCUAAUUACAUCAAAUUAGAAUUUUUGUUGAUUGUUUAAGUUGGUUUAUUAGAAAUUAGAGCUUUUGUCCGAUUUGUUGUUAAAAUGAUAAAAUUUCUCAAAAUCAAUUGCGUUUAAUAGCAUGUGUAUGUUAAUGUCCGAAACUAUGACUCAGAUAACUCAGCAGUGUGUAGAGCUAUGUCGAUCUGAAGAUAAUAAAAUUUCAGAGCUAAAAAAAGACGUUGGUAAACUCCAUAAAACCCAUAACGUUUAUUAUUAUUUUGGUUUUUAAUUUUGUAGCAUGUUCAUGAUUUUUUUUUCUUUUUCCAUAAUGUUUCUACUAUGCUACUAUGUCUUGUUUGAUUCUUUAUUGUGAUCAGGUAAGACAUGAAUGAUUUUACGUUGAUAACUCUAAGAUAGUACCAUGGUGAGGUCUUACAUUUUAGUAGGGGAAAACCAGUUUAUAAGGGGGGGUUAGUAACAGAAUUUUUGAAUGUUGACGUAGAUAAGAUGUCAUAUUUUGAGUUGAAAGACUAUAUUAAAAAUUGGGACAUAGCAUAACUUGCACUUUUAGUAUUAAAGCAUUUAACUAUGGCAUUUUGGUAGAUGUUGAUAAUGAUAUGGAUAUUUUUGAGAUGAUGUGUUCCUUGCAAGAUGGGGAUGAAGUAGAGGUAUUUGUCAACCAUUUGUUGAUGAGCCAGAUGUAGUGGCCCCCCCUCCCCCAAACCUUUAUUUUUAGAAAAUGUCUGUCCUAGAAAUUUAGAGGAAUCUGGUGCAUCUUUUAAUACUAAGCCUAACUUUAGGGUAAGUGGGGACCAUUUAAAUGUGGAGGACCCUACUUCUUUUUUUCCAACCACACCUCCUUUCAAUACCACACCUCUUUUCACUACUGCAUUAAGUGUUGCUGUAACAACUAAUGCUGCAGUAGAUGAUAUAGAUGUUGGUCUUGCUGGAUUUGAUUUUUUAGAAGAAGAAGUAGAGGCUUCUGAUUAUUCUACUGAGAAUAAUGUUGAGUCAGAAGGAGAAUUAGUUGGAGAUGAUGAUGAAGAGGAGUAUGGUAAUGAUGUACCUGAGGAGGUUAGGGAGUUGAGAGUUGAAAAGAGAAAGUUUCAAAGGAGAAAAAGAAAUGAGAGAGUACCAACUGACAAUGCAGAGGUACCAGUAGGUGAAGUAGUACCAGAUCUAGGUUUUGAUGAAACUGAAACCGGUAGAGUAAGUUAUGAAGGAAGGCUUGGAGGUGAUGAGCCUUACUUUGCAAGUUCUGAUGAGGAUAGUUUUGUAUUAGAUGAAGAUGAUUGUUGUGAUGAUGAUGAACAUGAAAUGGUUCAUUCUGGUAGAGCAAGAACUAUGAAGUUGUCAAAAAAGAGGACAACAAAUCAAAAAAUCAUUCAUGACCCAACUGCAAAGGAAGUUGUUUGCCAGUUACGUAUGGUGUUUAAAGAUAUGAGUGAAUUUAGAAAAGCAGUGACUAAAUAUGUAAUAAGAAAAAGGGUUCUUGUAGAGAAGUGGGUUAAUGAGCCAAAAAAGGUUAGAGUUAGGUGCAAUGAUGGCUGUCCAUGGCUUUUAUUUGCAGGUCUUGACAAGACAACAAAUGAUUUCAUGAUAAAAAACUUAUAUUCCAAAGCAUACUUGCAAUAAGACAACCAGAAAUUACUUGUGCAAUGCAAAGUUCUUAGCUGAAAUCUUUAGAGAAAGAAUAGUUGAGCAACCCAACAUAAGAGUAUUCAAGUUGCAAAAGUUGAUUAGAAAAAAGUUCAAACUUUAUGUUGGUAAGAUCACUGUGAGAAAAGCAAGGUCUAAAGUCUUAAAGGAGAUAAUGGGUGAUCAUGUUGUAGAAUUUGGAAGAAUCCUUGACUACAAAGAUGAACUGUUGAGGAUAAAUCCGGGGACCAGUUGCGUUGUCAAACUUGGUGAGGCUGAUGAAGCAGGUAAACCAAAAUUUCAGACUUUUUACAUAUGCUUUGAUGUUUUGAAGAAGGCAUGGGUACAUUGUAGGAAGUGCAUAGAUUUAUAUGGUUGUUUUCGUAAGGGUAUUUGUAAAAGCCAAUUGUUAGUUGUUGUUGCCAAGGAUGGAAAUAACUAGAUGCUGCCACUUGCUUGGGCAAUAGUUGAAAAACAGAAUACAAACACCUGGACAUGGUUUAUUAGGUGCAUUAGGGAUGACCUAAGACUUGAAGAAGGUGAAAGUCUCACCCUGAUUACAGAUAUGCAGAAGGUAUGUACAGUAUUUUAUGUUUAACCUCAUUUCUUUUUAAUUUAACUUAGUACAUGUAAUUAUGCCCUAACUUCACCCUUUUUUUGUUAUGUAUGUUUACUGAAAGGACUGUUUGUAGCAAUUGAGGAGGUGUUACCUCAAUCUGAACAUAAAAGAUGUGCAAGACACAUCUUAGCUAAUUGGGCUAAGGAUUGGAGAGGUCUUCAAAGAAGACAACAAUUUUGAAAGAUAGCAAAAAGUACAUUUGAGUCUCAAAUGAGGAAGAACAUACAGAAGAUGAAGUUGCUUGGUCCUGGAAAAAUGAUGUAAGACUUAAUGUACUGCAAUAUUAAUUACUGGUGCAAGCUUUACUUCAACACAGAAGUAAAGUUUGAUUCAGUGGAUAACAACAUGAGUAAGUGUUUUAAUGCAUCGAUCUUGGCAGUUAGCAGAAGACCAUCAUUUUCCUGCUUGAAGAAAUAAGAGUGAAGAUGAUGACAAGAAUAGGCACUCUAAGGGAGUUUCCAAAUACCUGGUGUAGUAGUUACUCACCAAGGUGUUUGAAGAUUUUAGAGGAGAACAUCAACAGGGCUCUGGAUUGUACCAUUAAGUUUAAUGGAGUGACUGGUUUUGAAGUGAAAGAAGGGCUUUGUCAACACACAGUGGAUAUUAUCAAGAGGACAUAUAGGUAUAGGUUGUGGCAGUUAAAGGGCAUACCAUGUGCACAUGGUGUGGCUGCACUAUUGUUCAAGAAACAUCCCUUGUAUGACUAUAUUGACAGCUGCUACAGUAAGGAAACAUACUUGAGGACUUAUGCAAAUGUUCUUAAACUAUUAACAAACAUGAAAAUGUGGCCUGUUUCAUCAAACAUUACUGUUGCACCACCUGAAAUUAGUACCUUGCCUAGCAGGCCAUCUAAGUCUAGGAAGAAGGAAGCUGGAGAAACAAAAAAAUCUGCAAAAUUGCCUAGAACUGGACUUGCAAUGACAUGUAGGUUGUGUCAUGUAGGUUGUGUCAUGUUAGAGGCCACAACAAAAGAAGGUUCCCUCUAAGAGGACAAUCAGCAGAACCAAGUGUUGCACUAUCAGUAACACCUACUGGUUCAGGCAUUGGAAGAGGCAGACCAAAGGUAAGUUUAACACUUAAUUUAGUAUAUUACUUAUCUUACUUCUAAAAUUUCUUAACAUUAUUUUAAUAUGUAGAAAACUACACCAAAAACACCAAAUGCACCUCCUCAAGUCAGUGUUGGUUCAGGCAGGGGAAGAGGCAGACCAAAGGUAAUUUUACACUUGUACUAAUUAGCUCAAUAACUUUUAUAUAACUCUCUUCUUUUUAUAUGUAUAGAAAACUCCAUCAGAAAUCAUUAAUGCAUGUCAACAACAAAAAAAAGAAGAAGAAGGAGACCAAAAAAGGCAACACUAGCAGCACCUAGUGCAUCUCCUCUACCUAAAACACCUUCUGCGCCUACUAUUUUUCCAGCAUCCUGUUCUGCACCUUCUGAUUAUUGUGCAUCAUCUUUAAUGGCUGGUAUUACUAAAAGGGGAAGGGGUAAUGAUAAGGAAAAAACACCUCCAUUGAAAAGGUCAAAAGUAAUGGGAAUGGGUGUGUUCCAAGAUGAAAAUGGAUUCAAAGUCCUAAAUGUAAGUAUCUAGCUUUGUUGUAUCUUGUGUACAUAUGAGUCUUUAAUGUAUAAGUUUUUGAAUAAUUUUUAUCCUUCACUGUAGCCUGGCAUGCCUAGCAGUAAGAUCUGCUCUAUUGGUCAUGCAAGGGUAACAAGAUCAGCUGAUAUAACUGGUAACAUUGGUUAUACACCAAGUACUACUAAUAAGCUGAAAUUGAAUGGCAAAGUAGCAAUAUGAACGAAAAAACUACAAGAUAUUAAAGAGAAGAAAAGAAAGAAGAAUGUGCGAAGCAGUUCAAAUAAUUCAAGUCAAGAAAAUACUUCUUCAAAGUCCAAGAUGCCCUGAAAAUUGUAGUAAUGUUGAUUAUUUUAAGCACUGUUUUAAGUUAGACCAAUUGAAAUGAAAAUAAUUUUAUUUUGGUGCUGAAAAAUAAUUUAAGCACUGUAUAUAUAUUUUGUUGAUGAAUGUUGCCUAAUGGUUGGUAUGAAUGAUGAUGUUGUGCCUAAUGGUUGGUAUGAAUGAUGAUGUUGUGUGAAGUCGAAUAUUUUGUUGAUGAAUGUUGUCAUUAGGUAUUAUUGUUGUGUUAAAUGAUGGUAAAGUUGAUAUAAUGUCAACACAACAUUGUCAUUACACGAUUUAAGUGUAAAAACAUAGCAGCAGCACGGUGCUUUGUCUAACAAGACACAACUUUGAAAGUGUAAACAAUAACAUAGCAACAACAAAAGACACAAUAAGUGUAAACAAUAACAUAACAGUAAUACACAACACAAUUUUGUAAAUGUAAACAACAACGUAGCAGGAGCACAACACAAUUUUAAAAGUGAAAACAAUAACAUAGCAGCAACACAAAUGCAAACAAUAACAUAGCAGCAGCAACACAAGUGCAAACAAUAAUAUAGCAGCAACACAACAAACAUCUGAAGUACGACUAAGCAAAAGACACCAUAACAGAACAUAAUCUGAUAUAUUUAGAGAGAGAUAUACAAAAUUUACACCAUAGUAGACAAGAUCUAGCAACUAGUUUUAGUUCAUUUGUUGCUGAUGAACAUAGCAACAACACAAAUCAAAAUAAAUUAAAAUAUCUUCCUAUUGAACCUACACCAUCUCCAUUUUCUAUUAAGCUUUUUCUCCCGCGUCAAGUUAUCAAUUUGGACUUGUUUAAGCCAUACGUCUUCUUCCAACUCAUUGAUUUUUUUCACCAAUCUUGGAAAUAUAAAAUUUGAUCUUGAAUCCACUUUUUCUUUGUCCCUUUGUAGGAAAAAAUUAUAUUUUUGAGACUAAAAUUUUUUUUAGAAAUCAGUACAUUAUCAUAAUUUGAAUAUAAAUUGACGGCAAAAUACAAUGCAAAAUACAUAUACCAUAGUAGAGGCAAGACCAAAAUCUUCUUCCCGGAUUUAACUUCGACCAUGAAGUUUGCAAGUUAAGAAAAAUACCAUGUUUGCAUCUCACAACAACAUUGACCAUUGGAUCUGAUUCAUCUACACAAAGUUUAUUCAAUUUCGAAUUUGUCAUUUCAUGAAUUUCGACAAAAUUAAUGAUAAAAUUACAAACCCUAAAUUAAUAGUUGAACCAAACUACAAAACAAAACUUCACGAAUUGAAGUACAAAUUGGGAUUAAAAAUUAAAACGUACGUUAAAGAAAUAGAAAAAAAAUGGAGAAACAUGAAGGAAAAUGAUGGACAAGAACAAGGGUCUUAUAAAGAAGAAGAUGACCGUUGGAAGAGAGAGUAUUUUUUCAUCUUUAUUUCAUCAAAUAAUCAAUUAAUGAUGUGUAUAUUAUGUGGAAGGUUAAAAUUUUAAUUUUAGAUGUGCUGGGGCUAAACCAACGCGUCUAGAGGGAGUGUUCUCACCUUCCUUGUCAGGUCAACAUUUGGGGUAAUAAAUAUAGAAAACAGGUCAGCAUUUGAGGUAAUAAAUAUAGGAAAAAAUAAAUUAGAGGGUAAUAGGUCAUCUUUUGAAAAUUAAGUGUGUAGUUAAAUUUUGACUAAAGGUUGAUAUUAGCUGAACAAAAUUUUAACCAUAAACAAUAGUCCUAAAUAGAACAGGAUUCAUUCACACGACAACUUGCUUCUUGUAUUGAAGAAUUAGAAGAGGGGUUCUUAAGGAUCAUUCCUUACAAAUAAUUCUAAGAGAAAGAAAAGAGACGCAACUACUUUAAAUAAAUGAUAAAAGGAAAUUAUUUAUUAAUCAAACUCAUAACAUUUUCUUGAUUACAAUUGUAAGACGAAGACCCACAACCUUAGACAAAUUACAGACACACAUCAUUCAGAUUGAAACAAACAUUAUUGACUGACAAAGGGAGUUCGACAAACAACAGUUGAUUUGCAAUUCUUCUUCAACCAAAGAUGUCAAUCGCCUUCACCUCAUGUUUCUUCUCCUCUUCCUUCGGAACAGUCACAGUGAGCACUCUGUUCUCCAUAGCUGCCUUAAUUUCCCCUAUUUUCGUAUUCUCCGGCAGCCUAAAUCUCCUCAAAAACUUGCCGUUGCUCCUCUCCAUACCGUGCCACUGAUCAUUCUUCUCCUCUUGCUCUCUGCUUCUCUCACCACUUAUCUGUAAUAUCCUUCCUUCUGCAACUUCGACUUUCACUUUUUCUUUCUUGAUCCCCGGAACAUCUGCUUUGAAGAUAUAAGCUUCUGGAGUUUUCUUCGAAUCAAUUCUUGCAUUUACGAAAGUAGAAGUUUCACGAGAAGAGGAGGGGGUGUUGGUGAUUGUGCUUGAAAUUGGGAAGCCUUCGAACGGAUCCCAUAGGUCGAGGGAGAAUGGGUCAAAGAUGUUGCUCCUGCGACCACCGAAGAAGCUUGGAAUCAGAGACAUUUUCUGGGGACUUUGUUGUUUGAAGAAGACAAAAGAUGUACUGUUACAGAGCUUGAAUUUUUCUUUGAUUGUAGCGUUUGAUAAUUUGUUGUUGAUGAAUGAGAGGAGAUGCCGUGAUAUUUAUAGGCGAUGAACCAUGAAACUUAAGUAAUUGGAGUGUAAUCUAGGAUGUUCUCAGAGUAUUCGACGAUAUUCUUCAAUAAGCUAUCCAAUUCGAGGCUAAUCUUCGAUGUUCUUCGGUUUAACUUUCAUUAAUAGAAGAAAUAAGAAGCUUCUACAGUAUUCGAGGGAAUUUUUCUAAAAGGGUCAUGCACAUUAUUGUUCGUCAAGUCAUAAUUUCAAGGGUAAGGUAUAAUGGGUAAAUAAUUUUGAAAUAAAAUGAAGAGUAAAUACAUAAUAAUUACCCACUGAUGUUGGUCGAGAUUUUUAAAAAGACACUUAAACUUUGAAUUCGACCCAUUAUCCUAUGAUUCUUACUUAAUUUAUUGCAAACACACUAUUUUUCGCUGAAUUUUAGUCACAACAAGGAGAGUGAAAUACAUGCGUCAAUCAGAUGCCACCACAUGUCAAAUAUGUUUAAUUUAUAUUUUUAUUAUUAUUUUAAUAAAAUUUUAUUUUUUAUUUAAUUUAAUACCCCACCCCAAAAUCAAUUCAAAAAAUAAUUUUAUAAUUAAAUUGAGAGUUUUAUGAUUGAAUUUAGUUUUAAAGAUAGUUAAAUGAUAUGAUUUAACUGAAAAAUUGAGCUUUAAUGAUAUGAUUUUAAUAAAAAAAAAGCUUCAAUGGAGGAACUUUAAUGAUGAUAUUGUGUUGAAGAGCUUUAAUGGUGUUGAAGAAGAUAUUAUGUUGAAGAAGAAAUGGUGGAUAGUUAAAUGAUAUGAUUUAAUUGUAAAAUGGAGCUUUAAUGAAUGAUUUAAAAAAAUUAUGAAAAGUUUCAAUGGAAGCUUUAAUGGUGAGUUGAGUUAAAGAAGAAAGAGUGGGUGGUUGGAGGGCGGAGAGGGGGUAGGGAUAAUUUUUAAAAAUAAAUAAAUAUUAUUUUUUUUUAAAAAAUAUAAAUUAUAUAUUAAAUUAUUUUACACAUGACAGCUUUUAAUUGGUCAAAAAUGUCAAAUUCAAGCCAUUUCACGCGCCUGUGGUGCAUGUAUACACGUAGAGGGUCAAAAUGGUGUGUUUGCAACGAAAUAAAGAAGAAUCAUGGGGUAAUUAAUCGAAGUUAAAGUUUAGGUAUCUUUUUGUAAAUCUCGGACAAGAGAAGGAGGUAAUUAUGUAUUUACUCUAAAAUGAAAGAUUAAUACAUCCUUGACUACAUAUCUACAUGUUUCAUUAUUUACAUAUUGAAAAUGAUGGUGUUUGUAACUUUUCACAACAUCAUUUAGCAAAAAGUACCUGCACAGUACCAAAUGAUUAAUAUUUGUCUCAUAAAGAGGAAAGAAAAAGCAAGGGCAUAUUGAUAGAUGAGAUUUCCGACAAAUAAGAAACCAAAUCAUUACUAUCACAUGAACCUUAAGUUGUUGCAAUUAAGAGUUCGGAACUAAAGUAUGCCAUGCAACUAAAAAAAGAAUCAUUCUAUGUCAUAUAAAAAAAGUAUUAAAAUAGGUUUUGUGCACUUAUUAAGUGCACAAUGCCUUUCUAUUUUAACGGUAAAUCCAUUCACAGUAUCAGAGAAAGUCAAACUUAGUCAUUUUUUAUGAAUUGUGCACUUAUUAAGUGCACAAUUCAUUUUUUUAUGAAUUAUGCACUAAAUAAGUGCACAAUUCUUAUUAAAAUAGAUUGUGCACUUAUUAAGUGCACAAUGUUUUUUAAAUAAACUGUACACUUAUUAAGUGCACAAUGUUUAUUCACUUUUUACGCAUGACAUUUUCAUUUAAUUUGUUUAUUUAUUUAUUUAUUUAUUUAUUUUUUGAUUGUGCACUUUUUUAGUGCACAAUUCAUUUAUUUAUAUUGUUCACUUUUUUGUACAAUCAAUGGAUUGUUGUGAUUUUGGACUUGUUGAAGAAGAUUAACAAACAACAAAAGGAGCUGAAGGCCAAAAGGAUCUUAAAGCUAAUUUUAAGCAUUAGUGUGAUAUGUAAUCUGAUGAUGUUCAUUUACCUUUUGUGCCAUUGAAAGAGAAUUGUCUAUGUAUGAUGUUUUAUUUUGACGAAUAUAAUAGUAUUUCUCUGUUAAAGUACAAAUACUCUUAACACGAAAAUUUUUAUGGUAGAUGAGGUGCGCCAUGUCAUAUUUAUGUGAGGCUUUUCAUUAUUUGACAAGUGCACAUUGUGGGUCCCGUGUAAUUAUUAUCCUUUUCACUUUUUAUUGAAAUGUCAUGCUUUUUUAUUUUUUAAUUUAUUUACACAAAAUCAAAUAACAUGAAUAAAAUAGGGUGAAAAAAUUAUCAUACAAUUUUUUCUUUUUUAUUAAUAUAAAUUAUCUAACUUUAAAGUUUAUCACACAUAAAUUAUUAUUUUUUUUAUUUUUCAUAUAAAAAAUCAUCCAUUUUAAAAUUAUCACAGUAAUCUUUUUUUCUAAUUUUUAAAUGGCAAUGAAAUGAUAUAAUAAAAUUAUUUAUCAUUAUUUUAUUCAAUAAAAUUAUUUAGAUUAAUAGAUUUAUCUCACGAAGUAACAAUAGAAUUAAAACCCACACUUAGAAAAUAGGAUAGUUUGUAAUUAGCAUCCUUAAUAUAUGUGCAUUUUUUUUAAUUACACUUUAUUUUAUUUUUAAUGUCUUGGCCCUUAAAAUCUCAUUAAAUUCCUACAAAAUUAUAAUUAAUCUCAUUUUAAUUGUUACAAAGACAAAAAAAAAAGGAAAAAAUAGAAUUAAGAAGAAAAAAUAAUAAUAGCCUUUCAAUAUUGAUUCAUACCUCCAGUGAAUUUAUCUUGAAUGACUUUCAAGCCGUCUUUGCUUCUUUAAAUAAUCAAAUUUAAUAUUUCAAAAGUAUAUUUAUUGAAAUUAUUUAUUAGUUUAGUUUGGUUUAUAUUAAAAUCAUGUGUUUUAUUUUUGUUUUUUCAUCCGGUGUCCGAUACCCGCAUUGGAGUACGACUAAUGCUGAUUCGCGCCGCGUAGUGUCCCAUUCGGGGGGAAGCGCACCUUACCAAGAAUUUUUUCAUACCUAGGGCUCAAACCCGAGACCUCUGGUUAAAGGAGGAGCAGCCCCAUCCGCUGUAUCACAUCAUUUGGUGGUAUUAAAAUAUGUGGUUGUAUUAUGGUGAAACUGUUUAGUUUGAAAGCUUAUAACAAUUAUUAUUAUUAUUAUUAUUAUUAUUUAUGCUUUUUAUUUUAUUUUAUGUUUUUAAAGGGUAAUUUAUUUUAUUAUUAUUAUUAUUAUUGUAUUUUAAAUAAAUUGCCCUUUUAAAAUAUAAAAUAAAAUAAAAACUAUAUAUGCUUAUAACAAAUUAUCGUAUUCAUACUAUAAUUUUUUUACAUACAAAUACAUAUUUAUAAUAAUAAACAUUUUAAAUGUCAGCCGUAAAAAGUGAAUAGAGAUUGUGCACUUAAUAAGUGCACAAUCUAUUUAAAAAAUGUUGUGCACAAUCUAUUUUAAAAAAAAUUGUGCACUUUAGUGCACAAUUCAUAAAAAAAAAUGAAUUAUGCACUUAAUAAGUGCACAAUCCAUUAAAAAAUGGAUUGUGCACUUAAAAAUUGCACAAUCUAAGCGUGACCUUCUCUGACGCCGCGAAUGGAUUUGCUGUUAAAAUAAAAAGGCAUUGUGCACUUAAUAAGUGCACAAAGCCUAUUUUAGUAUUUUUUUUUAUAUGACAUAAAAUAAUACUUUUUUUAGUUGUAGGACAUAUUUGGUUUCGGACUCUGCACUUAACUAUAUUUCAUUCUUUUAUAUCAAAUACCUUCGUAGUAUUUAUUGGAAGAGUUCGUUGUGAUGGGAAAAAUACUUUCAUAGUAAGAAAAUCUAGAAAGUACAAACAUGUACUCAAACUAACUUAAAUAAAGUAGAAACAAUUAGAUUAGCUAAAUUAGAAUAUCAUGUAAUGUUGAAAACAUACUGAAAGACAUUCGAGAAGCUAACAUCGACAAGGAAUUAAGCCACUUUUACGUCCAAAACUCUCAUGUUCUCGAUCUUUCUAUUGCAGAAAAUCAACCUGAAAAAUUUAAAAGUAAAUUAUUAUUAUUAUUAUUAUUAUUAUUUAUUAUUAUUAUUAUUAUUAUUAUUAUUAUUAUUAUUAUUAUUUCAUUUCUAAUUCUUUAUUCCAUUUUUGAGAAGAGAAAAACUAAAUUAUAAAGUUGAAGGUUGUUGCCCUUCAAAUUAAAUAAUCUAUAGCCAAUAUAAUCUGGAAAACCUCUAUUUAGAAAGGGAAAAAAAUGAACAUUGAUAUACAUUUAAUAAAGCAAUGGAAAGUUGGACAUUAACCUCCUAGAAAUACUCACUGCAUCUUUUAAAAACCUUAAAUCAGAAACUAUCAAAUCUUUGUUUUUAUUAACAACAGGGACUUCCCCCAAUUCUUGUAGAAAACUUGAGACACAUAAAAUGUGAUUCUAAUGCUUAUUCAUCUCUUGAUUUUUCCAUCAUUAUUUAAAUAUCUACAACAAUAAUAUACUGGUAUAAUUUUAUUGGUGGGGUUUAGGGAGAGUAAAGUGUACACAGAUCUUACCCCUAUAAUUCGUAAAGAUAAGAGAAGUUGUUUCUGAUAGACCCUCAGCUGAAGUGAAGUAUCUCAAAGCAAUUUGAAAAGGGAAAUAUGGAAAUAGAAAUAGUAACAUCAACACUAUAUAUGAAUGCAUGGAGCGGAAUUUACCUUACUGUUUGCCUUUGCAUACGCAAUCAGCUGCUAAGUGUCUGACUCAAGAAUGCCAUCAACUAUAGUAGCCACGCCUCUAAUGAUUGCUUGUUUAAGAGCAGAUAUGGAGGAUGCAACAACAUUGCAUUGAGUUAAGAAAUUAACGAUCAGACAGAUUGUCUUUCAAGAGAUGACGGAGGGCUUGUCACACUACCAACCUUCUGAAAGAUACAAAGCUUAUAAAUACAUCAGUAGUGGGAUGUGCAACACAGCCAGCUUCAACUCUGUAUAACAGGACGGACAACAUUAGUUCAUAUAUCGUUUUGGACACACAACCAAUUGACAUACAUGGACAAAUUGAUUUAUAAUUAAGCCCUAUGUGCUAUAAUGUUGAGUCAAGAUGCUCCGCCUUUUCUAUAGAAGCAGUCAACUGAGUUCUAAACGAAUUAGCUUCUGGCCAUAUUACGCCUGUUGGGUUCAAUAUGUAUGGAAGAAGUGUGAAUAGAAAAUGGAGAGAAAAAGGAUGGAGGGAAGGAAACACUAAUUUAGAAAGUGUACUCUCAAAUUGAAAAGUUCACUAAAUCUCCCACAUUGGUGGGAGAAGAGAACUUUGGAGUAUUUUUAAUAAAGAAUACUUACUCUACAUAGAUAGUGAGGCAAGAACAAGGUGGUGCUUCGUGUUGUUGUCGUCGCUCGGCUCGACUUUGAAUUUGGAUUGAUGGAAUCUAUUAUUUUGGACAAAAUUUAUUUGAUCAAAAUCUGAUCCGAAUAUUCUAAAGGAAAAAUGACAGAAAUGCAGAAAAUUUUUUUGUGUUUUAUCCUCCAUUUAUAUGCAUGUAUACAGUGAACUGAUGCAUUAUUUCGAACUGAACUGAUGCAAUGUUAUGAACUGAUGCUUCAAAAAGAUGCAACCAUUCAGUAAAAAUGAUACACUGAUUCAUGGAAAGGUAUGCUUGUUCGGAAAAGAUACACUGUUUGGACGAAUAGACAUGAUUUUUCAGGAAAGGUUACACCUUUUUAAAUAAACCAUUGCCACUUUUCAGAAGAGGCCAGUUAUGACUAUAUAAACCUGCUUUCAUCCAUAGGUUUAGACAUGAAAAUUUUUUUGAAACAAAAACUCUUCUUGUUUUCAAAUAUUUUGUGUGAUCAAUCAAACUGUUGAGUGAGUUCGUAGAAUCCGUCAAUUUGAGGUACCGUUAUUGUUCGGAUUGAAGUCCAUUUUAUCCUGGGAGGAAGAUUCCAUAACCUCGGGUACAGUGAGGAGAAUUAUUCCAUAAGGACAUUCCAUGAAGUCGGGGGACUUGAUCUAAAUUUCUGUUUCAUCUUUUUCUGAAUAUUAACACACUUCUAAGAUAGAUUAUUCAUAAUCUAGUGUUGAAGGUGUGAAGAAACUUCAUAAGUUCUUGUCUUGAACUUGAACUUUCUUUGAAGUUUCUGUUGCUUAUAUAUAGAUUCUUGUACCCGAAUACAUACAAAAUAACAAUCUUAAGGAAUAAUUCAGAAUCUGUAUUACUUGUUUUUGAAGAUUAAAUCUUUAAACUUUCUACUCCGUUUGAAUUUAACUAGUGAUUAGAAGACAUAAAAUCUUUAUCACAAGUUUAAAAUUCACUCGGUUGACAAUUGGAAGUCAUUAAAACUUCAUUGUUAACUAGAAACAAGAAGAAGAGUUUAAGUUUCUUAACUUUAUAAGUAGUAUUCUGAAAAUACUAAAUAUUAUUGUCUUGUGGUGACAGGAAAAAUAACUAAUGAAAGCCAAAUGCAAGAUGCGGCUACGACUGUGGGGGCAACUAGCAUUGCUUCAACAAGUCGAGCAAAUGCUCCGCAACCAAUGGCACCUGCGGAGAAGCCUGGAAAAUUUACGGGCGUUGACUUUAAGCGAUGGCAGCAAAAAAUGUUCUUUUACCUCACCACUCUAUGCCUUUAAAGGUUCACUAGUGAAGAUGCUCCUGAGGUGCUCGAGGGAACCUCGGACAAAGAGCAUUUCAUGAUUGUAGAAGCUUGAAAAUACUCAGACUUUCUUUGUAGGAAUUAUAUAUUAAGUGGUCUCCAAGACGACCUCUACAAUGUUUACAGUGGAACUAAGACACCGAAGAAAUUGUGGGGGGCACUAGAUCGAAAAUACAAGACAUAGGAUGCGGAAAUUAAGAAAUUCUUUGUUGCAAGGUUCUUGGACUUUAAAAUGAUAUAGAGCAAAUCGGUUGUCUCUCAAGUGCAGGAAUUGCAAGUAAUCAUCCAUGAUCUUCUAGCGGAAGGUUUGAUUGUGAAUGAUGCUUUCCAAGUAGGAUCGAUAAUUGAGAAGCUACCACCAAUGUGGAAGACUUCAAAAACUGCUUGAAGCAUAAAAGCAAGGAGAUGACUGUUGAAGAUCUUAUUAACCGACUGCGUAUUGAAGAGGAUAAUAAAGCUACCGAGAGAAGGUCAAAAGGGAAUUCUGCAAUUAAUGGAGCACAUAUUAUGGAAGAUGACCAAAAUAAUUCUGAGAAAAGGAAGAAAGUUGAACAAGGAAGCAAUCAACCGAAGAAGAAAUUCAAGGAAAAAUGCUUCAAUUGUGGCAAGAUUGGCCAUAAGUCCACGGAUUGUCGAACCCCAAAGAAAGGCAAGAAAAAGGAUCAAGCAAAUAUGAUUGAAUCCAACAAAGAAUGCGAUGAUCUGUGUGCUAUGUUUUCAGAAUACAACUUGGUGGGAAAUCCUCGCGAAUGAUGGAUGGAUUCUGGUGCCACCCGCCAUGUAUGUGCAACAAAGAGUUGUUUUCGUCAUUUGUUCUGGCUCAAGUAGAAGAAAUAAUCUACAUGGCUAACUUCGCUACUGCUAAGGUAGAAGGAACAGGAAAAAUGUGCUUGAAAAUGACUUCAGGAAAAGUUUUGACACUUAACAAUGUCUUGUAUGUUUCAGAGUUACGUAGAAAUUUAAUUUCUGUUUCACUUCUAGACAAGAACGGAUUCAAAUGUGUAACCGUUUCUAGUAAAAUUAUAAUUAGCAAAGGAGAAAUGUAUGUAGGAAAAUGCUAUCUCACCGAGGGCCUUUAUAAGAUGAAUGUAAUGAAUGUUGAAAUAAAUAAAAGUUCAAAUUCUUCUUAUUUUCUUGAGUCUUAUGAUUUAUGGCAUGAACAUUUAGGCAAUGUUAAUUAUAAAACGCUACAAAAACUGAUUAACUUAGAAGUUCUGCCGAACUUUGAGUGCAAUAAAUCAAAGUGUCAACAUGUGUGGAAUCAAAGUAUGCAAAACAUCCUUAUAAGUCUGUUGAAAGGAAUUUCAAUCCCUUAGACUUAGUACACACUGACAUUUGAGAUAUGAAGUCAACACCAUCACGUGGUGGAAAAAAGUAUUUCAUAACUUUUUUUGACAAUUGCACUAGAUAUUGUUAUGUCUAUUUGCUAAAUAGUAAGGAUGAAGAAAUGGGUACGUUUAGGAAAUACAAAAUUGAAGUUGAAAAUCAGUUAGAUAAAAAGAUAAAAAUAAUAAGAAGUGAUAGGGGCAGAGAAUAUAAAUCUCCUUUCGCCGAAAUAUGUGUAGAGAAUGGAAUUGUCUAUCAAACUACGGCCCCGUAUUCACCUCAAUCUAAUGGAAUUGCGGAAAGAAAGAAACAAAUUUUGAAGGAAAUGAUGAAUGCCUUGCUUAUAAGUUUUGGUUUACCGUAAAACUUGUGGGAGGAGACUAUCCUUACAGUCAAUCGUAUACUCAAUACAGUUCCCCAUAGUAAGACACAGUCAAUUUCUUAUGAAAAAUGGAAAGGAAGGAAACCCAACUUGAAAUAUUUCAAAGUGUGGGGUUGUCUAGCAAAGGUCCAAGUUUCUAUGCCUAAGAGGGUUAAGAUAGAACCUAAACUGUGGACUGUGUGCUCAUAGGAUAUGCUAAAAGCAGUAAAGCAUGUCGAUUUUUGGUUCAUAAAUCCAAACAUCCGGAUAUAAAUAAAAAUACGGUAAUUGAAUCAGAUAAUGUUGAAUUCUUUGAAAAUAUUUACCUGUAUAAAACUAGACAUGAACAUUCUAGUGGAGGGUCUAAAUAACCUCGAGAUGAACCAAGUGAGAAUAUGCAUAAUGAAGAGAAUCCAAGAUGUAGUACACGUCGAAGAACUUCUACUACGUUUGGAUCAGAUUUUGUAACUUUUCUCUUAGAAAAUGAGCCUCAAACAUUUAAAUAAGCGGUGUCGACAUCAGACUCAUCCUUUUGGAAAGAGGCAGUCAAUAGUAAGAUUAAUUCAAUCUUAAGCAAUCAUACUUGAAAAUUGGUUGAUUUUCCUCCCGAAAAUAAAUAUUUAGGUUCUAAAUAGAUCUUCAAAAGGAAGAUGAAAGCGGAUGGUACUAUUGACAAAUACAAGGCAAAACUUGUAGUAAAAGGCUUCAAACAAAAAGAAGGUCUUGAUUACUUUGAUAUAUACUUGCCAGUAACAAGGAUAAAAUCAAUUCGAAUGUUAAUUGCCUUAGCUGCGGUAUUUGAUCUUGAAAUUCAUCAAAUGGAUGUGAAAAUCGCUUGCCUAAAUGGAGAAUUGGAGGAAGAAAUUUACAUGGAACAACCUGAGGAUUUUAUGGUUCCAGGAAAGGAAAACAAGGUGUGUAAACUUAUUAAGUCAUUGUAUGGACUAAAGCAAGCACCAAAAUAAUGGCAUGCGAAGUUUGACCAAACCAUGUUGGCAAACAGAUUUAAAAUAAAUGAAUGUGAUAAAUGUGUUUAUAUUAAAGACACUCCAAAUCACCAAGUCAUUGUAUGUUUAUAUGUGGAUGAUAUGUUGAUCAUCAGCAGAGACAUUUCUGACAUAAAUGCAGUUAAAUGAAUGCUCGAGAGCAAGUUUGAUAUGAAAGAACUUGGAGUUGCAGAUGUGAUCUUAGGUAUAAGAAUCCAUCGAACUCCAUAAGGGUUGGCAUUGUCACAGUCUUAUUAUAUCAAAAAUAUACUUGACAAGUUCAAGUAUAUGGAAUUCGGUAUUGCCAAGACUCCAUUGGAUGUGAGCUUUGUACUUCGAAAGAAUGAAGGUGAAAGUGACUCACAAUUGGAGUACGCAAGAGUAUUGGGAUGUUUAUUGUAUACAAUGAAUUGUACACGAUCAAACAUAGCAUGCGCUAUUAGUAAAUUGAGUCGGUACACAAGUAAUCCCAACAAAACUCAUUGGAUGGAAAUGAAAAGAGUGUUGGGGUAUCUUAAAUACACUCAAGAUUAUGCCUUGCAUUAUAAUAAAUAUCCUGCGGUACUUGAAGAAUAUAGUGAUGGAAAUUGGAUCACUGGAUCGGAUGAAGUAAAAUCCAUAAGUGGAUAUUUAUUUACUAUCGGAGGAGGAGUAGUCUCUUGGAAAUCAUCCAAACAGACUUGUAUUGCUCGUUCUACAAUGGAAUCUGAAUUUAUCACAUUGGAUAAAGCCGGUGAAGAAGCAAAAUGGCUUCGAAAUUUCUUGGAAGACAUUCCGUAUUAGCCCAAAUCAGUGGCACCAGUAUGUAUACACUGUGAUAGCCAAGCGACAAUAGGUAGUGUAGGGAGUAUGAUGUAUAACGAUAAAUCUCGUCAAAUACGAGGGAGACAUAAUACCGUUAGAGAACUUCUCUCUAGUGGAAUUAUCAUUAUUGACUACGUAAAGUCAAAGGAUAAUGUUUUGGAUUGACUUACGAAAGGUCUAUCUAGAGAAGGAGUGGAAAGGACAUCCAAGGGAAUGGGUUUAAAGCCUAGGACAAGUCAGCAUGGCGGUAACUCUACCUAGCAGACUGGAGAUCCCAAGAGCUAGGUUAAAGGAGAUCAAACAAAGUUGUGUCUGACAGGUUCAACAUUGUCAAUUACCCAACCCAUUCUCAUGAUGUAGACAAUGUUUAGUAAACAAGGAUAAGACUUAAGGUUAAAAGUCUUUUAAUGAUUAUCUAAAUUUGGCAGAUUUGACCAAAUAGUUUAAUCUAUAGGAUUGAACAUUUAGAAAUCACCUAAGUAAGGACGAAGUGGAAGCUGCUUCAAAGAGAAUGUUAGUAAAGGCCCAUUCUCUAAGCUCUCAUGAAACUGGGACGUGUUCAUGGCUGAAAAAAAUAAAACUGUGAGAACCAUAAACGGUAAAAGGCUGGUUAUGUGACACGUGUUGUCUAGGUGUACAUUAAAGCUCGAUGGUUCAAAGAUAUCAAAUUUGCUAAUUGACCGAGUGCAUCCGAUGCAUGUUCACUACGGAAAGGUCAAAGAAAAACCAACUUAUGCAGAUGCAAUCAGUCUUUACUUGAUGAUCACAUACUUGUCCGUAAAAAUUUUAUGAAAAAUAGCCAUUCCUCAUUCAUGUGGGGAAUUGUUGGGUUCAAUAUGUAUGAAAGAAGUGUGAAUGGAAAAUGGAGAGAAAAAUGAUGGAGGGAAGGAGACACUAAUUUAGAAAGUGUACUCCCAAAUUGGAAAGUUCACUAAAUCUGCCAUAUUGGUGGGAGAAGAAAACUUUGGAGUGUUUUUAAUAAUGAAUACUUACUCCACAUGGAUAGUGAGGCAAGAAAAAGGUGGUGCCUCGCGCCGUCGUCGACGUCGCUCGCUCGGCUCGGCUUCAGCUUCGGCCUCAACUUUGGCGUCGGAUUUGGAUUUGGAUUUGGAUGAAAAUGGAGAGAAAAAUGGUGGAGGGAAGGAGACACUAAUUUACAAAGUGUACUCCCAAAUUGAAAAGUUCACUAAAUCUCUCACAUUGGUGGGAGAAGAGAACUUUGGAGUGUUUUUAAUAAUGAAUACUUACUCCACAUGGAUAGUGAGGCAAGAACAAGGUGGUGCCUCGAGCUGUCGUCGUCGCUCGCUCGACUCGACUUCGGCUUCGACUUUGGAUUUGUCAAAUGAUCGAUCAAUGAGAUCUAUCUAAUCUUUUUGGACAAAAUUUAUUUUAUCAAAAUCUGAUCCGAAUAUACCAAAGAAAAAAUGACAGAAACGCAGAAAAUUUUUCUGUGUGAUCAAUCAAACUGUUGAGUGAUUUCGUAGAGUCCAUCAAUUUGAGGUACCGCUAUUGUUCGGAUUGAAGGCCAUUUUAUCCUGGGAGAAAGAUUCCAUAACCUCGGGUACAGUGAGGGGAAUUAUUCCUUAAGAACACUUCGUGAAGUCGGAGGACUUGGUAUAAAUUUUUGUUUCAUCUUUUUCUGAAUAUUAAAACACUUCUAAGAUAGAUUGUUCAUAAUCUAGUGUUGAAGGUGUUAAGAAACUUCAUAAGUUCUUGUCUUGAACUUGAACUUUCUUUGAAGUUUCUGUUGCUUAUAUAUAGAUUCUUGUACCCAAAUACAUACAAAAUAACAAUGCCUACCACUCCCUUCUCUUUACCUGAUACAAGGCAGUCGAAGUACGCACCACCCUGUAGAUAUGAAUGGCGCGAAGGAAAGGUGCAAAUUAUCAUCUGAUGCAUUUGCUAGACAUCAAAAAAGGAAUUAACUUAUACUAUCGUGUAAAAGUUGUUUAUACUAUUAGACGUAAUUUAACCUGUUAUAACAAAUUACCUACUUUAUUUUACAGGUCACUACUUCCAUUUACUAUGUGAAGUUACAUAUUGCUAUCUUUUAGGUGUGUAAUACUAUUAAUGCAUAUGAGUUAAUUAAAGAAAAGGUCAUAUAAGCUAACGAAAUACUUUUUACACUGAUGCAAUUCAAUCGAUUGUAGUAGGUUUCAUCACCGUAAUAUUUAGGUUAUCAUAUUAGACUUGAUACGAAGAGUUACCAAUUAUUGCGAAUUAUGGUGUUCAGACACUUCAAAAAGGUAGUCACACCCGCGUCGGAUCCUCCAAAAUACAUUAUUUUUGGAGGAUUUAAAAAGCACAUUUUGAUGUUUUUAAAGAUUCCAAGCAACAUAAGUUGUAAUUCAAUAGUAUCUAAUGGUCUAAAAAAAGCAUACGUAGUCAGUGCACAAAACUUAAGCUCGGAGAAUAAAAUGACUUACUUCAUUUGCUUGGUUUGGACAAGCUUGCCAGCAGUAGAAAUAUCAGCAUCAAGUUCUUCAUUUUGGUAGAAAAGUUUAGGAUCAUUUACCAUAUCCAAUUUUCUCUUCUUGUAAGCAGCAACACAAACUUGCAAUAACCUAGUAAAAGGGCUACCAGCAGGAUCCAAAUUUCUAUACAAAGGGUAUCCAAAUAUGAACACAACAAUUGAAAUAAGCAUAGCAAUUAUUGGUACAACAAAUCCAAUGCUCCAUCCAAUAUUAUCUUGAAUGUAAACAAUUAUCGUGACAGCAACAAGCAUUGAAAAUCCCAUUGGCCUGAUUUUGCUUCUUUUUCAUUGAAAAUCCCAUUGGCUUGAUUUUGCUUCUUUUUUCAUGAGCUAUUUACUCAUUCUUCUUUUACUCUGAGUUUGAAAUUGUUAUUUUAUGGUGUUUUCGGGUACAAGAAUCUGUAUUUAGGCACAACUUCAACACUAGUUCAAAUUUAAAACAAGAACCCUAUAAAGUACAAAAACACCCUCAACACAAGAUCGAAGUGAUCUUUCUAAGAAGUGUGUUUUAGUUUUUCAGAAAUUAAGAUGAAAUAGAAAUAUAAAGCCAAGUCCCCCGACUUCAUGGAGUGUCCUUAAGAAAUAAUUUUCCUCACUGUAUCCGAGGUUUUGGAAUCUUCCUCCAAGGAUAAAAUGACUUUCAAUCCAACUAUAGUGGUACCUCAAAUAAUUGAAUUUGUCGAACUCACCCAACGAUUUGAUUGAUCACAAAGAAUGUUUUGAAUACAAGAAGAGUUUUUAUUCCAUAAAAUUUUUCAUUCAUUUCUAAACCUGUAGAUGAAAGCAGGUUUAUACAACCAACAAAUACCUUUUCUGAAAGAUAACAAUGGUUUACUUAAAAGGUGUAUCCUUUGGAAGAGUCAUGUUUGUUCAUUUGAAACAUUGUAUCUUUUUCUGAACAGACACAAUUAUCUGAACAGUCACACCUUUUUCAAAAUAAGAUAUCUUUUGCUCAAAGGUUGUGUCCCUCUAUUUUCCAUUCACACCAAUUAAACCAAACAAUCCCCCAUAUGAAUGGGGAAUGACUAUUCUUUGUAAAACUUUACAAAAAAGUAUGUGAUCAUCGAACAAAGAUUGAUUGCGUCUGGAUAAGUGGGUUUUCCUUUGAACUUUUCGUAGUGAACAUGCAUCGGAUGCACUCGGUCAAUAGGUAGAUUUGAUAUCUUUGAGCCGUCGAGCUUUAAUGUACACCUAGACAACACAUGUCACACAGCCUUUUACCAUUUAUGGUUCUCAUGGUUUUGUUUUUUUCAGCCAUGAACACGUCUUGCUUUCAUGAGAUCUUAGAGAAUAGACCUUUACUAACAUUCUCCUUGAAGCGGCUACCACUUUGCCCUCACAUAGGUGAUUUCUAAACGUUCAAUCCUAUAGAUUAAACUAUUUGAACAAAUAUUCCAAAUUUAGAUAAUCAUUAAAAGAAUUUUCACUUUAAGUCUUAUCCUUAUCUACUAAACAUUAUCUACAUCAUGAGAAUGGAUUGGAUAAUUGACAAUGUUGAACCUGUCUGACACAACUUUGUUUGAUCUCAUUGAACUUAGCUCUUGGAAUCUCCAGUUUACUAGGUAGAGUUACCGCCAUGCUGACUUGUCCUAGGACUUAAACCCAUUCCUUUGGAUGUGCUUUCCACUCCUUCUCUAGAUGGGUCUUUUGUAAGUGGAUCCGACACAUUAUCCUUUGACUUUACAUAGUCAACAGUGAUAAUUCCACUAGAGAGAAGUUCCCUAACGGUAUUAUGUCUCCGUCGUAUGUGACAAGAUUUACCGUUGUACAUUAUGAUUCCUGCCCUACCUAUUGCCGCUUGGCUAUCAUAGUGUAUACAUACUAGUGUCACUGGUUUGGGAAAAUAACAAAUAUCUUCCAAGAAAUUCUGGAGCCAUUCUGCUUCUUCAACGGUUUUAUCCAAUGCGAUAAAUUCAGAUUCUAUGUAGAGCGAGUAAUACAAGUCUGUUUGGAUGAGUUCCAAGAGACCGCUCCUCCACCGAUAGUAAAUACAUAUCCACUUGUGGAUUUUACUUCGUUCGAUCCGGUGAUUCAAUUUGCAUCACUAUAUCCUUUGAGUACCGCGGGAUAUUUAUUAUAAUGCAAGGCAUAGUCUUGAGUGUAUUUAAGAUACCCCAAAACUCUUUUCAUUGCCACCCAACGAGUUUUGUUGGGAUUACUCAUUUACCGACUCAAUUUACUAAUAACGCAUGCUAUAUCUGGUUAUGUACAGUUCAUAGUAUACAUUGAACAUCCCAAUAUUCUUGUAUACUCCAAUUGUGAGUCACUUUUACCUUUAUUCUUUCGAAGUGCAAAGCUCACAUCCAAUGGAGUCUUGGCAGUACCGAAUUCCAUAUACUUGAAUUUGUCAAGUACCUUUUAGAUAUAAUGAGACUGUGACAAUGCCAACCCUUGUGGAGUUCUAUGGAUUCUUAUACCUAAGAUCACAUCCGUAACUCCAAGGUCUUUCAUAUCGAACUUGCUCUAGAGCAUUCGUUUCGUUGCAUUUAUGUCAGAAAUGUCUCUACUGAUAAUCAACAUAUCAUCUACAUAUAAACACACAAUGACUUGAUGAUUUGGAGUUUCUUUAAUAUAAACACAUUUAUCACAUUCACUUAUUUUGAACCCGUUUGCCAACAUGGUUUAGUCAAACUUCGCAUGUCAUUGUUUAGGUGCUUGCUUUAGUCCAUACAAUGAAUUAAUAAGUUUACAAACCUUAUUCUCCUUUCCUGGAACCACAAAACCCUCAGGUUGUUUCAUGUAAAUUUGUUCCUCCAAUUCUCCAUUUAGAAAUACGUUUUCACAUCCAUUUGAUGGAUUUCAAGACCAUAUACUGUUGCCAAGGCAAUUAACAUUCGAAUCGAUGUUAUCCUUGUUACUGUCGAGUAUGUAUCAAAGUAAUCAAGACCUUCUUUUUUCUUGAAGCCUUUUACUACAAGUCUUGCCUUGAAUUUGUCAAUAGUACCAUCCGCUUUUAUUUUCCUUUUAAAGAUCCAUUAGAACCUAAAGGUUUAUUUUCUGGAGGAAGAUCAACCAAUUCCCACAUAUGUUUGCUUAAGAUUGAAUCAAUCUCACUAGUGACUAUCUUUUUCUAAAAGGAUGAGUUUGACGACGACAUCACUUCUUUAAAUGUUUGAGACUUAUUUUUUAAGAAAAAUAUUACAAAAUCUGAUCCAAAUGUAGUAGAAGUUCUUUGAUGUGUACUACGUCUUGGAUUCUCUUCAUUAUGUAUAUUCUCACUUGGUUCAUAUCGAGGUCGUUUAGACCCUCCACAAGACUGUUCAUGUCUAGUUUUAUACGGGUAAAUGUUUUCAAAGAAUUCAACAUUAUCUUAUUCAAUUACUGUAUUUUCAUUUAUAUCCUGAUGUUUGAAUUUAUGAACCAAAAACCGACAUGCUUUACUGCUUUUAGCAUAUCCUAUGAAUACGCAGUCCAUAGUCUUAGGUCCUAUCUUAACCCUCUUAGGCAUAGGAGCUUUAACCUUUUCUAGACACCUCUACACGUUGAAAUAUUUCAAGUUGAGUUUUCUUCCUUUCCAUUUUCAUAAGGAAUUGAUUGUGUCUUGCUAUGAAGAACUCUAUUGAGUAUAUGGCUGUAAGGAUAGCCUUCCCCCACAAGUUUUGUGGUAAACCAAAACAUAUAAGCAAGACAUUCAUCAUUUCUUUUAAAGUUUGAUUUUUUCCGCAAUUUUGUUAGAUUGAGGUGAAUACAGGGCCUUAGUUUGAUGGAAAAUUCCAUUCUCUACACAUAUUUUGGCGAAGGGAGAUACAUAUUCUCCGCCCCUAUCACUUCUUAUCAUUUUUAUCUUUUUCUCUAACUGAUUUUCUACUUCAGUUUUGUAUUGCCUAAAUGCAUAUAUUGCUUCAUACUUACUAUUUAGCAAAUAGACAUAACAAUAUCUAGUGCAAUUGUCAAUAAAAGUUAUGAAAUACUUUUUCUCACCACAUGAUGGUGUGACUUCAUAUCACAAAUGUCAGUGUGUACUAAGUCUAAAGGAUUGAAAUUCCUUUCAACGGACUUAUAAGGAUGCUUUGCAUACUUUGAUUCCACACACGUUUGACACUUUGAUUUAUUGCACUCAAAGUUUCGCAAAACUUCUGAGUUAAUCAACUUUUGUAACAUUUUUUAAUUAACAUGACCUAGACGUUCAUACCAUAAAUUAUAAGACUCAAGCAAGUAAGAAGAAUUUGAACUUUUAUUUAUUUCAACAUUCAUUACAUUCAUCUUAUAAAGGCCCUCGGUGAGAUAGUCUUUUCCUACAUACACUUCUCCUUUUCUAAUUACAGUUUUUUCUGAAACGAUUACACAUUUGAAUCCGUUCUUUUCUAGAAGUGAAACAAAAAUUAAGUUCCUAUGUAAUUUCAAAAUGUACAAAACAUUGUUAAUUGUCAACACCUUUUCUGAAGUCAUUUUCAAGCCCACUUUUCCUGUUCCUUCUACCUUAGCCGUAGUGGAGUUAGCCAGGUAGAUUAUUUCUUCCACUUGAGCCAGAGCAAAUGACGAAAAUAACUCUUUGUUGGCACAAACAUGGCGGGUGGUACCAAAAUCCAUCCACCACUUGGGAGGAUUCCCCACCAAGUUGCAUUCUGAAAGCAUAGCACACAGAUUAUCACAUUCUUUGUUGGACUCAAUCAUAUUUGCUUGGUCCUUUUUCUUGCCUUUCUUAGGGGCACGAUAAUUUGUGGACUUAUGGCCAAUCUUGCCACAGUUGAAACACUUUCUCUUGAAUUUCUUCUUGGGUUGAUGGCUUCCUUGUUCAACUUUCUUCCUUUUCUUAGAAUUGUUUUGGUCAUCUUCUACAAUAUGUGCCCCAUUAAUUGUAGAAUUCUCUUUUGACCUUCUCUCGGCAGCCUUGUUAUCCUCUUCAAUACGUAGUCGGACAAUAUGAUCUUCGAUAUCCAUAUUCUUGCGUUUGUGCUUUAAGUAGUUUUUGAAGUCUUUCCAUAUAGGUGGUAGCUUCUUAAUGAUCGUUGCUACUUGAAAUGCAUCAUUCACAAUCAAACCUACAAAACAGUUUAUGUGAGUACUAAGAACAUUUUCAAUUUGUUUAACUAAGGUAUUUUUCAAAGAUAUACCUUCUGCUAGGAGAUCGUGAAUGAUUACUUGCAAUUCCUGCACUUGAGAGACAACCAAUUUGCUAUCUAUCAUUUUAAAGUCUAACAACCUUACAACAAAGAAUUUCUUAAUUCCCGCAUCCUCUGUCUUAUAUUUUCAUUCUAGUGACCCCCACAAUUCGUUUAAUGUCUUAGUUCUACUAUAAAUAUUAUAGAGGUCGUCUUGGAGACCACUCAAUAUAUAAUUCCUGCAAUGGAAGUCUGAGUGUUUCCAAGAUUCUACAAUCAUGAAAUGCUCUUUGUCUGAGGUUUCCUCGGGCACCUCAGGAGCAUCCUUAGUAGUGAACCUUUAAAGGCAUAGAUUGGUGAGGUAAAAGAACAUCUUUUGCUGCCAUCGCUUAAAGUCAAUGCCCAAAAAUUUUCUGGACUUCUCCGCAGGUGCCAUUGGCUGCAGAGCAUUUGCUUGACUUGUUGAAGCAAUGCUAGUUACCCCCACAGUCGUAGCCGCAUCUUGCAUUUGACUUUCGUUAGUCAUUUUAUUGUCACCACAAGACAAUAAAAUUUAGUAUUUUCAUAAUACUAUUUAUAAAGAUAAGCAACUUUAAACUUUUCUUCUUGUUUCUAGUUAAUGAUGAAGUUUUUAUGACUUCCAAUCGUCAACCGAAUGAUCUUUAACUUGUGAUGAAGAUUUUCUGUCUUCGAAUUACUAGUUAAGUUCAAAUGGAGUACAAAGCUUAAAGCUUUAAUCUCUAAAAACAAGCAAUACAGAUUCUGCAAAAAAUUAUUUCUUAAGAUUGUUAUUUUAUGGUGUUUUCAAGUACGGGAAUUUGUAUUUAGGCACAACAACUUCAACACUAGUUCAAGUUUAAAACAAGAACACUAUGAAGUACAAAAACACAAGAUCAAAGUGAUCUUUCGAAGAAGUGUGUUUUAUUUUUUCAGAAAUUAAGAUGAAACAGAAAUAUAAAGCCAAGUCCCCCGACUUCACGGAGUGUCCUUAAGAAAUAAUUUCCCUCAUUGUACGCGAGGUUUUGGAAUCUUCAUCCCAGGAUAAAAUGACUUUCAAUCCAACUAUAGUGGUACCUCAAAUAAUUGGAUUUGUCGAACUCACUCAACGAUUUGAUUGAUCACAAUGAAUGUUUUGAAGACAAGAAGAGUUUUUAUUCAAGAAAAUUUUUCAUUCAUUUCUAAACCUGUAGAUGAAAGCAGGUUUAUAUAGCCAUCAGAUGCCUCUUCUGAAAGGUGGCAAUGAUUCACUUAAAAGGUGUAUCCUUUGGAAGAGUCAUAUCUAUUCAUUCAAAACAUUAUGUCUUUUUCUGAACAGACACAACUAUCUGAAUAAUCACACCUUUUCCAUACAUAAUAUAUUUUUUGCUCAAAGGUUGUGUCCCUCCAUUUUCCAUUCACACCAAUUAAACCCAACAGAAACAAAUGAAAUCUCACCAUCUUAGUGUGACUGCAUGUUGUUGAAGAGUUUUUCAUUGAAUGAAAAAACGGAUAGGUGACCUCAUCUUAUGGCCUUGGAUAACCUUAACCUUCUGAGCUAACUUUUGGAGUUAAGAUAACUUUAAGAUCUACUAUUUCUUUUUCGAAUAAUGCCAACCAACUCGACCAAGACAUUUAUAUGAAAAAGAUAAAAAAAAAAAAGAUGUGUUAAGUUAGUGUUUUCCCAGCCGACUCGCACACCACCAUCUUUUUUUAGAUUGAAGAAGUAUCAAGAGAAGGUCCACCUCAUCUAAUAUUUAUCGAUAAGUGGGCUUCCCAUAUCAACUUAUUCACUCUCCAAAUAUCCAACCAUGAGUAAGAUCUAUUUCUUAAUACUGGCAACAAGUAUCGAUUGACUUUUACUUUAAUCAUAAGAUUAGAUUCAGUGCCAGACUCUAUGCAUUGUGUUACCACUUAGCAGAGUGCUGUGUUUUUAAUGAACGAUCGAUCGCUACCCCCUGAGUCGCAAUUGACCAUUUCAAUAGACAUAUAGGCAAGGAAACUUCAGUAUGUAUACUUUUCUGUUGAACAUGAGACAACUUGCUUGGGUGUCGAAGAAAGAGAGCCAAAGGGCUAGAUAGAGAGAGGAGAGGGUACUCAAUACUCACCAUUGGCUCUUCACUCCUGUUUUCAAUUAGCAAAAUUAAGAGAGACAUAUCAACAAUUUCAAUACUGUAAAAUAGUUCAAAAUCCUGAAUUUUGCACUGCAUGUAAAAAAGAAAUUCAAAAAUUUAAUCAGUACAAUGAGGUCGGAAAAAAAAUCUCAACAAUGGUUGAUCUAAAAGUUAAUGAACAAAGGAAAAGAGACAUGGCAAAACAAUAAUAGCAAUUUGCCUGAAUUGUACUGGAAUAGAAAAAUUGAAAAGAGGGGAAGAGUCUUAAAACAAAAGAACUUUAUUAUGCAUUCUAACGCUAUAUUCAAAUAUUCUUCCUUCUAAUUAAAAUAGUUGAAGGAUGAAAUUAACAAACAAUGAGAAAACUCGGAAAGAAAGCAGACCAAGAAUUUGAAAUAUGAAAAAGAAUCAAAAACAUGCAAAAUUAAACUGACCGGACGCUAGAAGCCUAAAACCAAGCAAUCCUAGUAGCAGGUUUGAGCAAACAAUUGAUUAAAUGAUAGGGAGAUCCAGCAAAAUUGUUUGAGCAAAAAACAAAGAAAAAGGAGAGCAACCAAAUGAACAGAUGGAGAUCAGAUCGGUGAAAGGAUGGAUGGUAUGGAUAAACGUGGUAAAUUUAGUGCAGGUUGAAUGACACAUAAGGAAAGUAGAGGUGAAGACGAAAAUGCCCUUAGUGCUUAAACAAGCAUGUUGAAACAUAGCCUUUCCUAAUAUAGUAGUAAUAAUAAUAAUCAAUGGCGGAUGUAGAGUAGAAGGUGUGGGUUCCCGGGAACCCACACCCGCUACCGUAAGACUUAAAAUUACAUAAAAAAAUCGUCAAAAGUUAUAAAUAUUAAUAGGUGGGAACCCAUAACUAAACCAAGGGAUAACUUAGUGACAGGAAAGGAGCCCUUGUGAACCCACAAGUUUAUAAUUCUGGAUCCGCCUCUGAUAAUAAUUGAGGAGCUCCUAGGUUGAAAAUCACCAAAACAAAAAAUAGUAUUUACUACUUACCAUAAACGAAGAAAAGGAUAAAUAUAUCCUCAUAACUAUAGUAGGUAUAGGUCAUUUGUUAUAUUUUGAGUACAUAUAUAUUCUUAUCAUUAAUAAAAUAGUACGUAUAUGUUCCUCAGAUUAAUGUCAAAGGCAUAUAUGUAUCCAAAGUAUGACGGUGAUCAUAUGCAUAUCAUGUACCAUAGUUCAAUGGUAUAUUUAUCUCCUUUUCGUUUUAAUUUUUGUAACCCCAAUAAUUAACGGAAACCUACUAUCCAACUCAAUAGAAUCACUAUCCGAUCUUGUCUCAAUUAAAAUUAAAGGAACACCUAACAUAUGCAUUUUUCUCACUCUUGUAACAAUAUAUACACAUAAGCCAGUAACACGCACUACUAUCAAUUUUAAAAAAGAAAUCAUUAACUUGUAACACCUAAAAACAACAUCCAAUAAAUUCAUGUCUCAAUUUUUCAGCGAAAUUUCAUCGAAAAAAUACAAUCCACCACCGGUCAGCACCAUAUAGCCACCGUCUAUGUCGAAUAAAAAAACAUGCAUUGGCGAACCACAUCGCACCGCUAGCUCCAACCACCUUCGACCUAAUCUCCACUCCCUCCAACCCGCAAACACCAACGAAUAGCAUUGAUCAAUCACUGUAAUUUGAUUGUGCUUCAAGUUUAAAAGAAAAAUAGAGAGAGUAUUGAAUUUGAAACAAAAAUAGAAAUUGGAUCGAGUUGGUCUGCAAAGGUUCAAUGGGUUUAUUGAGUUGAAUAGGGAGUUUGAAUUAAUUAUUUUAAAUAAAAAAUUAAACGAAAAAGAAACAAAUAUAUCCCAGAAUUAUGAUAAAUAAUACGUAUAAAUAAUACGUAUAUACUCUACAUUAUACUUUGUGUACAUAUAUGUCCCUACCGUUAGUGUCAGAGAUAUACAUAUAAUUUCAUUAACGAAUAUAUACGUAUCAUUUAUCAUAAUCCCAAUAUAUAUUUACUCUUUUUCCGUACAAUAAAUAAGGAACACAAACUAACCGUCCACCCUGGAAAGUCUACCAAGGUACUACUACCAAUUACUAACAAGACAAGGAGUGGUAUUUGUUAUAGUUUGAGGCUUAGCUUUACUAGCCGAAGCUCCUGGACUCAAAAUCUAUCUUCCAAGACCCACAUCCUCAUUUCGUUGUCUCCGUCAAUCAGCCAUUAGCGUAUGUAAUUAAUUUGCGUAGUGGCAUGUUCGUAUCAGUGGUGAAACCGAGAUAUUUACUAAGGAGUUCAUAAGUGAACAAAUGAAUUAACCAAAGAUGGUCAACAUCUAAUAUAUAUACAUAAAAUUUAAUUUUAAUCAUGUAUAUAUAGCAUAAUUUUUUGUCGAUCUGAACCCCCUCGGCAAAGGGUAGAUCCGCCACUGGUUCGUAUAUUUUACGCGGACCCUUAAUGAGUCUAAGAUUAGAUAUUUGGUUUCAUCAACACAUUCUUCGUACAGACUGCAAAUAAAGAAAAACGGAGAAUGAAAUUGGCAAGCUUGUGACGUGACUAUAUGAAAGCAGUAAUGGUCCUGCAAGUGAAGUGAUGAAGCGGAUGAUUUCAUAAACUUCAAAAGAAAAAAAGACAGAGAAAUAAUACUGGAUAAUGUCAUUACAUAAGCACGGGAAACAAUCCCUAAGAUCGAAUACAUUUGAUUAUAUCAGAGUUCAGUAAGUGCUGAAGCCAAGUUGAAAUUAUAUGCCCCGUAUUGCAUAAAGCAUAUAAAGCUGAAAUGCGUUUAAGAUAUACAAUCCACUUGUUGCUAAUCUUACAUCCAAAACCUUUAUGUAGAUUUGAAUACCAAAAUCAAAACUUCCAAAACCUUUAUGUAGAUUUGACCAUAAAAGAAUAAUCUUCAUAGGUUAAGAUUCCUUUUUAGAAGUUUUGAUAAAAUAAAGAAAAAAACCGCACUCUCCCUUAGGAGCGGAGCCAGCCUCAGAAAAAUAUAUUAUUUAUACGUGAUUAAAAUUCAUUUUUAUAUGAUUAUAGUAAAUGUUAAACUCCCUUUAACUAAGUUUUCUUUGAAUAUAAAACCCUUAGUUAAAAUCCUAAUUUUUUUAAUUUUUUUUUUGAAUAUGAAUCUCCUUCAUUAAAAUCCUGAUUCCGCCUCUGCUCUCCCUAGUUAAAAAACAUCACCCAAUCUAGAGCCUAAUUACAAAAAAAAAUAGUGUUCUUCUAUGCUUCCCUUUAGAUCUACGCUUCCCUUCAGAUUAUUUAAGAAAGUGAGGACUAAUCAAAUCAAUUAUCUCAAGGAACUCAACACGCUUCUUUCCAUCAAAAAUCUCAUCACAAAUUAUGACCUCCUUGUUUUGAGGAUCCUAUAAAGGCCCGUAAAAGAAAGAGUCGGCAGCGCAAAGAGUGGAGAUACGCUAUCAGAAAGCAUUCCCUUCUUUUCACCAACCUCUCGGAUAAACCAUAGAGAGCAUCAUGUUAGAUAUCAACACUAGAAAGCUAAAGCCAGAUUACACACCCAACACAAUGCAACAAAAGAUUUGACAUACUAAUUACAGUACUACAUAGACCGGUAGAAGACAGCAGUCCAAAUGCGCUAAGCAUUCCAAAACUUCCAAUAGAUACUUAAGAUGGCAUCUAGGUAGACAAAGGUAGCAAAUCAGAAGCAUGCAAAAAGCCAGCAAUUGUGGCAAAGAACAUAGAUUAGAACCAGUAUAUUCUUUCUCAACAUAUAUACCACUAGAUAAAAUUUCCGGUGUUAAAGUAAGCAUAUCGAAUGAAAAUAACAAAUUUACAUCUUUGUUCAUAGAAGAGACGAAAUGAAGCUCAACCCACGAAAACAUUAAAGAUCAAUCGAACAACUACAAACAUGUAAAAGAAAAAACUGCAUCAAUAGCCAUUUCAGAUAAGAGUGAGCAACUACUUCAGUCAAAUGUUAAAAUUUAUGCCACAUGGAAAGGAUGUUGCAACAAGGUUUCACCGGGAUUCGCUUUAAAGGAGAGUGAAAAUUAGGGGCCAGAAAAACUCAAGACAUACUAAUUCAAGGGAAGGAAAAGAGAACCAGAAAUCUUAAAUAAAUGUAAAGGAAAUUAUUCAUUAAUCAAGCUCAUACAACAAUUUCUUGUUUACAACUACAAAGCCAAGACCCACAACUUAGAUAAUUACACACACACAAUUCAGAUUACACCAAACACAAUAGACAAAGGACUUUCAACAAAAACAGCUGAUCUGCAUGCACUUGUUUAACCAGAUAUGUCAAUUGCCUUGACCUCAGGUUUCUUCUCCUCUUCUUUCGGAACUGUUACAGUGAGCACUCCAUCCUCCAUAGCUGCCUUAAUUUCCCCUGUUUUCGUAUUCUCCGGCAGCCUAAAUCUCCUCAAAAACUUGCCACUGCUCCUCUCCAUACGGUGCCACUGAUCAUUCUUCUCCUCUUGCUCUCUGCUCCUCUCACCGCUUAUCUGUAGUAUCCUUCCUUCUUCAACUUCGACUUUCACUUCCUCUCUCUUGAUCCCCGGAACGUCUACUUUGAAGAUGUGCGCUUGUGGGGUCUCUUUCCAAUCGAUUCUUGCAUUUGCGAAAGCAGAGGUUUCACGAGCAGAGGAGGGGGUGUUGGCGAUUGUGCUUGAAAUUGGGAAGCCUUCGAACGGAUCCCAUAAGUCGAGGGAGAAUGGGUCGAAGAUGUUGCUCCUGCGACCACCGAAGAAGCUUGGAAUCAGAGACAUUUUUUGGGGACUUUGUCGUUUGAAGAAGACAAAAGAUGAACUAUUACAGAGCUUGAAUUUUUCUUUGAUUGUAGCGUUUAAUAAUUUGCUGAUGACCAAUGAGAGAAGAUGUCGUGAUAUUUAUAGGCGAUGAUGAACCAAGAAACUUAAUGUAAUUGGAGUGUAAUCUAGGAUGUUCUCAGAGUAUUCGACGAUAUUCCCCACAAAGCUAUCAAAUUCGAGGCUAAUCUAGGAUGUUCGUCGGUUGAUUUUUGAUAAGAGAAAUAAGAAGCUUCUACACUAUUCCAGAUAUUUUUUCUGAAGGGUCACUGCACAUUUUUGCUCGUGAAGUCAUAAGGUCGAUUGUAUUCGUCUUAAAUUAAAAAUGGAACGAAAGAAAUAUAUAAUGACUUGACGCUCUUACUAUAUUCGGACUUGUUUCGUCAAUUUGGAUCCUUCUAUUCAUUACAUUGCCAAUUCAAUUCUUAAAUUCAACAAAAUCACAUAUGUAAGCAAAUUAAAAUAAAGAGAUUAAUUUUAGAAAAAAUUACAGAAAUUAGUAUCCUUAAGAUUAUAAUUACAAUAAAUAGCAACACUUUUUUAAAAUUAUAACUAGCAAAAGUAGCAAUAUUUUACUUAUUUCAUAGUAAUAGAACAAUAUGUAUUUUUCAAUUGUGCAUAUAUAUUUAUGAGUAAUAUAUAUAUAUUUGUAUAUGUAUUUAUAUAGCAACAUUUUACUUAAAUACAAAUACAAUUUACUAUUUUUCGUAAUUAUAAAACUGUUGCUAUAAAAGUUAUAAUUAAGGUUUAGAGUUACUAUUUCUGAAACACUUCCAUUAUAGGAGCUCUUAGAUUGAGUUGAAAAUCACCAAAACAAUCUGGCAGCUCAUAAUCGAUAUGUCUAUUUCAUUUAAUUCAAUCAUACUUUUAUUAUAUUAUUUUUAAUUAAUUAUUAUAAAUUAUUUAUAUAUUCAAAAUUAAUAAUAUUUAAUGAAAAAAUAAAAUAGACAUAUAUAACAUAUUUGUUUCUUCAAUUGUAAUUUUAUUAUAUCACUCCUAACUAAGUAUUAUAAGUCAUCUAUAUAUUAAAAAAUAAUAAUAUUUUAUAAAAUAUAAAAUAAACAUAAAAUAAUAAAUUAAUGUUUGAUGUUUUAAAUUAAAUUGACGUCUUAUAUUGAAUCCACUUAAAUUUUUUUCACAAGUAUUUAAUUUUUUUUAUAUCAUUUGUAACUAAUUAUUAUAAUAAUUUAAAACAUAUCUAAUUCGCUGCUUUAAUCGUGAUUUUACUAUAUCAUCCCCUAAUUAAUUAUUAUAAAUUAUUUAAGUAUUAAAAAAUUAAUAUAAUUUCAUAGAAAAAGUAAAAUAUACACAAAAUAAAAGUUAACUCUUAAUAUCUUAAAUUAACGUGUCGACUUAAAUAAGAUUCAUUUAAUUUUUUUUAUAAAUAUUUUUUAUAAUAGUUUUUUAUAUUACUUUUAAUUAGUUAUUAUAAUUCAAUUAAAUAUUAAAAAAUAAAUACUAAUAUUUAAUAACUGACACAAAAUAGAUAUAAAAUACUCCCUCCAUUUUAUUUUACGUGUCAUAAUUUGACUAAGGAUGGAGUCUAAAAAAUAAAAAAAGACUAUGAUUUUUUUAUCAAAUUGUCUUCUAUUAAAAAAAAUGUACUACUAGUAUCUUUAAUUAAGUGGAACCUCAUAAGUUGUACCAAUAAAGAUAAAAGUGAAAUUGUAUCUUUAAAUAAUUAUUAAAUAAGAAAAUAUGCAUUCUUUUUUAUAUAGACCCAAAAAAAAAAUAACGAAACAUAAAAUAGGAUGGAAGGAGUAACAAAUUAAAAAUGAUUGAAUGAAGUAUUUUGCAACGGUAAUAUCUGUGUCAAAAACGACUUACUAAUAUCUAAAUGAUUAAAUUUAAACAAAAUAUUAAAUACAUAGUUGCGAAUUAAGAACUGAAUUAUCAAAAUUUAUUUUUUAUUAGACAUAAAUGAAGCAUAAAAUACGUAAAUAAGGGAAUUAAUUUUUUGUUACUAUUUUAUCAUUUCAAUUCACUUGACAACAUUUAAUCAAGCAUGGAGUAGAAAAAUAAAAUGCUUUUGAAAUUCGUAAAUAAAUAAACGUUAAAUUUUUUACGAUCAUAAAAUAUUUUAUCAAAAAAUAAAACAAAAAUUGUAAAAAUAAAUUGUUUCUUCUCAUCACUCACUACAUGCCACUAUUUACUUACAAUAAAUAGAAAUUAUGUUAGGAACACAAAAUAACCGUCCACCAUGAGAAGUCCAACAAGGUACUACAACCAAAUACCGAACAAAUAGUAGUAGUAUUUGUUAUAGCUCUCGAGGCUUGAGCAUUUCUAGCUGAAGCUCCUGGACUCAAAAUCUACCUUCCUAGACCCACAUCCUCAUUUCGCGGUCUCCGAUUUUGUAAUCCAAAUUUAGUUGAUUCGAUUCUGAAAAGAUCGCGGUGCAACUCACGGUUGAAAUUUUUUGAGGGAUCUGUGAUGGUAGUGUAUUAUAGAAGUGCGACUUAAAGGAUUGAUUUUAAUAUAAUAGUUCUCGUGUGUUAUUAAGAACUUUUACUCCUCCCACUCUUCGAUAUAAUGAAUUCCUCCUCCUCUCUAUGAUUUUUCUCAUCAAAGAUUUUCACUUAAAUCUAUGUGUAUUCAUCUUAUUUUUCUUUUGCUUAUCAUAUUGCUUAUUUAUGUUUGAUUUCAUAUUACUUAAUUUGCAUAGUGGCAUGUUCGUAUAUUUUACACGGACCCUUCAUGAGUCUUGAGAUUUGGAUAUCUUCAAACAAACAGACACUGCAAUAGAGAAAAACGGCAAGCUAGUAACGUGACUAUAUGAAAGCAGUAUUAGACCUGCAAGAAAAGUGAAGGAGCUGAUGAUUCCACAAACUUCAUAAAAACAAAGAAAUAAUACUGAAUAGAUUCACUACAUUUGGCCAUGUCAGAGCUGCAGCCAAGUAGAAGUUGUACUAAAUAUGCCCCACAACAACUCACUUGGCUACUAAUUCUGCAAUCCAAAAACCGUCACACAUAUAAAUCCGAUUACCAAAAUCAAAACUUUAACAGGAAAGUAAUCCUAUAGGUUAAGGCUCCUCCAAAGAAGUUCAGAUAAACUUGUUGUCUUUCACAAGAAUAUGUAAUUUAACACAAUAACUUUAAUAUUAAUUCAAGUUUAAAACAAUAACAUUAUAGAGUUAAUCUUUUUAAGAAAUAUAUAUUUUUUCAGAAAUUUAGAUGAAAUAAAAAUAUAAAGCCAAAUCCCCUAACUUCACAGAAGUUCCUUAAAAAAUAAUUCCCUUCAUUUUAUCCAAAAUUUUUUUAGAAUCUUCCUUAAAAUGACUUUCAAUUCACUGUACCCAAAGUUUUAGAAUCUUCCAAUUAUAAUAAUACCUCAGAUAAUUAAAUUCGUCAAACUCAGCGAUUUGAUUGAUCACAACAAAUAUUUUGAAGACAAAAAGUUUGUAUUUCAGAAAAAAAAAAAUUCCUACCAAAAUCUGUUGAUAAAUGCAGAUUUAUAUAAUCAUCAAAUGCCCCUUCCAAAAAAUGAUAAUGAUUCAUCAAACAAUGUGUAUCCUUUAAAAAAUCAUGUCUGUUCAUUCAAAACAUUUUUUUUUAAACAGACACAACUAUCUGAACAAUUAUUCUUUUACAAAAGAAUUGUGUCCCUUUAUUUUUUAUUCACACCAAUUAAACCCAACAAAACCAACAAAACUAAAUUAACAAAGCACCCUUCACCCAAGUAAAUAUUAUCAGCCAAUUUAGAGCCUAAUUUAGAAAAAAAAAAAAAAAAAAAAAAAAGGAAGGUGCUCCUGCGACGCUUCCCUUUAGAUUCGUCCCUUUAGAUCAUUUUAAGGAAGUAAGGACUAAUCAAACUUAUCAACCCAACAAUAUAUAGAUAGGUGUUAACUCCAUAAUAAAAGAACAAGUAGGAUAAUGCAAUUAGAAAGAGUUGGCAACGCAAACAGUGGAGAUGCACCAGCAGAAAGCAUUCCCUUCUUUUCACUGACCUCCCCAGAUAAAUUAUAGAGAUAACAUCAUGUUAAAUAAAUAUCAACACUAGAAAGCUAAAGCCAGAUUACACACCCAAUACAAAGCUACAAAAGAUUUGACAUACUAAUUACACUAAAUAGACCGAUAGAAGACAGCAGACCAAAUGCACCAAGCAUUCCAAACUUCCAAUAGAUGCUUAGGAUGGCAUGGCAUCUAGGUAGACAAAGGCAGCAAAUCAGAAGCACGCUAAAAGCCAGCAAUUGUAGCAUAGAAUAGAUUAUAUUCUCUCUCGACAUACUACUAGAUAAAAUAUCUAUCAAAUUAAAAGAACAGUCCAGCGUACUAGUAAAUAUAUCAACUAUAACUUACAAAAUCAUAAAAGUCGCACAAUAAUUUCAUUGAAGCUUGAUACUUCGUAAGUGAAUGAAAUUAGACAAACAUAUAUCUUUGUUUAUAGAAGAGAAGAGUAUGAAAUGAAGCUCAACACACAAACAUGACAAAGAUCAAUCGAACAACUACAAACAUGUGGAGAGUGAGCAACAACUUUAGUCAAAAACAUACAAAUGCAAGGAAGGAAAAAGAGAAACAACAAUUUAAAAUAAAUGCUAAAAGGAAAUUAUUCAUUAAUCAAACUCUCACAACAUUUUCUUGUUUACAACUCCAAAGCCAAGACCCACAACUUAGACAAUUACACAGACACAUAAUUCAGAUUACACCAAACAUAACUUACUAAGGACUUUAAAACAACAGUUGAUCUGCAUGGACUUGUUUAACCAGAGAUAUCAAUUGCCUUCACCUCAGAUCUCUUCUCCUCUUCUUUAGGAACAGUUACAGUGAGCACUCCAUUCUCCAUAGCUGCUUUAAUUUCCCCCAUCUUCGUAUUCUCCGGCAGCCUAAAUCUCCUCAAAAACUUGCCACUGCUCCUCUCCAUACGGUGCCACUGAUCAUUCUUCUCCUCCUGCUCUCUGCUCCUCUCACCGCUUAUCUGUAAUAUCCUUCCUUCUU
rnacentral:lncRNA from 1 species